GGAACUGCGGUGUGCUAGGUGCGCUCGCUGGACUGAAAAUCCAGAGGUAAAUGUUCGACUCAUUUCAGUUCCG
rnacentral:tRNA from 1 species